rnacentral:rRNA from 1 species
UACGAAGGGGGCUAGCGUUGCUCGGAAUCACUGGGCGUAAAGCGCACGUAGGCGGAUCUUUAAGUCAGGGGUGAAAUCCUGGAGCUCAACUCCAGAACUGCCUUUGAUACUGGGGAUCUCGAGUCCGGGGAGAGGUGAGUGGAACUCCGAGUGUAGAGGUGAAAUUCGUAGAUAUUCGGAAGAACACCAGUGGGCGAAGGGCGGCUCGACUGGCCCGGUACUGACGCUGAGGUGCGAAAGCGUGGGGAGCAAACAGG